GACGAACGCUGGCGGCGUGCUUAACACAUGCAAGUCGAACGGAAAGGCCCCCAUCUUGGUGGGGGUGCUCGAGUGGCGAACGGGUGAGUAACACGUGGGUGAUCUGCCCUGUACUUCGGGAUAAGCUUGGGAAACUGGGUCUAAUACCGGAUAGGACCAUGGUUUAGUGUCUCAUGGUGGAAAGAUUAUUGUUUUGGUGCAGGAUGAGCUCGCGGCCUAUCAGCUUGUUGGUGGGGUAAUGGCCUACCAAGGCGUCGACGGGUAGCCGGCCUGAGAGGGUGGACGGCAACAUUGGGACUGAGAUACGGCCCAGACUCCUACGGGAGGCAGCAGUGGGGAAUAGUGCAAAAUGGGCGAAAGCCUGAUGCAGCGACGCCGCGUGGGGGAUGACGGCCUUCGGGUUGUAAACUCCUUUCGUUAGGGACGAAGCCACGCUUUUGGGGUGUGGUGACGGUACCUUUGUUAAGAAGCACCGGCUAACUACGUG
rnacentral:rRNA from 1 species